rnacentral:tRNA from 1 species
AGCAGCGUGGCGCAGUGGAAGCGUGCUGGGCCCAUAACCCAGAGGUCGGUGGAUCGAACCCACUCGCUGCUA